AACGAACGCUGGCGGCGUGGAUAAGACAUGCAAGUCGAACGCUUGUCGUGGAGUAGCAAUAUUUCGCGGCAGGAGUGGCGUAAGGGUGCGUAACACGUGGGUCAUUUGCCGCGAAGCUGGGAAUAACUCGUUGAAAGACGAGCUAAUACCCAAUGUGCUCCUCACGGAGUAAAGCCGGGGACCGUAAGGCCUGGCACUUUGCGAUAAGCCCGCGGCCUAUCAGCUAGUUGGCGGGUAAAAGCCCACCAAGGCUAAGACGGGUAGCUGGUCUGAGAGGACGACCAGCCACACUGGAACUGAGACACGGUCCAGACACCUACGGGUGGCAGCAGUCGAGAAUUUUUCACAAUGGGCGAAAGCCUGAUGGAGCGACGCCGCGUGGGGGAUGAAGGGCUUCGGGCUCGUAAACCCCCUGUCAUUCGCGAAUAAUUGUUGUAACCUAACACGUUGCGACUUGAUAGUAGCGGAAGAGGAAGGGACGGCUAACUCUGUGCCAGCAGCCGCGGUAAU
rnacentral:rRNA from 1 species